rnacentral:rRNA from 1 species
CUGAAUCAGUGUGUGUGUUAGUGGAAGCGUCUGGAAAGGCGUGCGAUACAGGGUGACAGCCCCGUACACAAAAAUGCACAUACUGUGAGCUCGAUGAGUAGGGCGGGACACGUGGUAUCCUGUCUGAAUAUGGGGGGACCAUCCUCCAAGGCUAAAUACUCCUGACUGACCGAUAGUGAACCAGUACCGUGAGGGAAAGGCGAAAAGAACCCCGGCGAGGGGAGUGAAAAAGAACCUGAAACCGUGUACGUACAAGCAGUGGGAGCCUCUUAAUGGGGUGACUGCGUACCUUUUGUAUAAUGGGUCAGCGACUUAUAUUCUGUAGCAAGGUUAACCGAAUAGGGGAGCCGAAGGGAAACCGAGUCUUAACUGGGCGUUAAGUUGCAGGGUAUAGACCCGAAACCCGGUGAUCUAGCCAUGGGCAGGUUGAAGGUUGGGUAACACUAACUGGAGGACCGAACCGACUAAUGUUGAAAAAUUAGCGGAUGACUUGUGGCUGGGGGUGAAAGGCCAAUCAAACCGGGAGAUAGCUGGUUCUCCCCGAAAGCUAUUUAGGUAGCGCCUCGUGAAUUCAUCUCCGGGGGUAGAGCACUGUUUCGGCAAGGGGGUCAUCCCGACUUACCAACCCGAUGCAAACUGCGAAUACCGGAGAAUGUUAUCACGGGAGACACACGGCGGGUGCUAACGUCCGUCGUGAAGAGGGAAACAACCCAGACCGCCAGCUAAGGUCCCAAAGUCAUGGUUAAGUGGGAAACGAUGUGGGAAGGCCCAGACAGCCAGGAUGUUGGCUUAGAAGCAGCCAUCAUUUAAAGAAAGCGUAAUAGCUCACUGGUCGAGUCGGCCUGCGCGGAAGAUGUAACGGGGCUAAACCAUG